rnacentral:rRNA from 1 species
AGAGUUUGAUCCUGGCUCAGAUUGAACGCUGGCGGCAUGCUUUACACAUGCAAGUCGAACGGCAGCGCGGGGCAACCUGGCGGCGAGUGGCGAACGGGUGAGUAAUAUAUCGGAACGUACCCAAGAGUGGGGGAUAACGUAGCGAAAGUUACGCUAAUACCGCAUACGAUCUAAGGAUGAAAGCAGGGGACCGCAAGGCCUUGUGCUCCUGGAGCGGCCGAUAUCUGAUUAGCUAGUUGGUAGGGUAAAGGCCUACCAAGGCUACGAUCAGUAGCUGGUCUGAGAGGACGACCAGCCACACUGGAACUGAGACACGGUCCAGACUCCUACGGGAGGCAGCAGUGGGGAAUUUUGGACAAUGGGCGCAAGCCUGAUCCAGCAAUGCCGCGUGAGUGAAGAAGGCCUUCGGGUUGUAAAGCUCUUUUGUCAGGGAAGAAACGGUGGGGGCUAAUAUCCGUCCACUAAUGACGGUACCUGAAGAAUAAGCACCGGCUAACUACGUGCCAGCAGCCGCGGUAAUACGUAGGGUGCAAGCGUUAAUCGGAAUUACUGGGCGUAAAGCGUGCGCAGGCGGUUUUGUAAGUCUGUCGUGAAAUCCCCGGGCUCAACCUGGGAAUUGCGAUGGAGACUGCAAGGCUAGAAUCUGGCAGAGGGGGGUAGAAUUCCACGUGUAGCAGUGAAAUGCGUAGAGAUGUGGAGGAACACCGAUGGCGAAGGCAGCCCCCUGGGUCAAGAUUGACGCUCAUGCACGAAAGCGUGGGGAGCAAACAGGAUUAGAUACCCUGGUAGUCCACGCCCUAAACGAUGUCUACUAGUUGUCGGGUUUUAAUUAACUUGGUAACGCAGCUAACGCGUGAAGUAGACCGCCUGGGGAGUACGGUCGCAAGAUUAAAACUCAAAGGAAUUGACGGGGACCCGCACAAGCGGUGGAUGAUGUGGAUUAAUUCGAUGCAACGCGAAAAACCUUACCUACCCUUGAC